rnacentral:rRNA from 1 species
UACAGAGGUCCCAAGCGUUGUUCGGAUUUACUGGGCGUAAAGGGUGAGUAGGCGGCCUAGCAAGUUUAGCGUGAAAUCCCCGGGCCUAACCCGGGAAAUGCGUUGAAUACUGUUGGGCUAGAGGGUCUGAGGGGAGUCUGGAAUUCCCGGUGUAGCAGUGAAAUGCGUAGAUAUCGGGAGGAACACCAGUGGCGAAGGCGAGACUCUGGAAGAUCUCUGACGCUGAAGUCACGAAGGCCAGGGGAGCAAACGGGAUUAGAUACCCCGGUAGUCCUGGCAGUAAACGGUGCGCACUUGCUGUAGGCGGAUUCGACCCCGCCUGUGGCGGAGCUAACGCGUUAAGUGCGCCGCCUGGGAAGUACGGCCGCAAGGCUA